AUUGAACGCUGGCGGCAGGCUUAACACAUGCAAGUCGAACGGUAACAUAAAGAAGCUUGCUUCUUUGAUGACGAGUGGCGGACGGGUGAGUAAUGCUUGGGAAUCUAGCUUAUGGAGGGGGAUAACUACGGGAAACUGUAGCUAAUACCGCGUAGUAUCGGAAGAUGAAAGUGUGGGACCUUCGGGCCACAUGCCAUAGGAUGAGCCCAAGUGGGAUUAGGUAGUUGAUGAGGUAAAGGCUCACCAAGCCGACGAUCUCUAGCUGGUCUGAGAGGAUGACCAGCCACACUGGGACUGAGACACGGCCCAGACUCCUACGGGAGGCAGCAGUGGGGAAUAUUGCGCAAUGGGGGCAACCCUGACGCAGCCAUGCCGCGUGAAUGAAGAAGGCCUUCGGGUUGUAAAGUUCUUUCGGUAGCGAGGAAGGCAUUUAGUUUAAUAAACUAGGUGAUUGACGUUAACUACAGAAGAAGCACCGGCUAACUCCGUGCCAGCAGCCGCGGUAAUACGGAGGGUGCGAGCGUUAAUCGGAAUAACUGGGCGUAAAGGGCACGCAGGCGGUGACUUAAGUGAGGUGUGAAAGCCCCAGGCUUAACCUGGGAAUUGCAUUUCAUACUGGGUCGCUAGAGUACUUUAGGGAGGGGUAGAAUUCCACGUGUAGCGGUGAAAUGCGUAGAGAUGUGGAGGAAUACCGAAGGCGAAGGCAGCCCCUUGGGAAUGUACUGACGCUCAUGUGCGAAAGCGUGGGGAGCAAACAGG
rnacentral:rRNA from 1 species